GAGCACUACCGGCGGGUUCGCGGGCCACGUGGCGCUGGAAGCGUUGCGCGGCCGUUUGCGGGCCUGACGGCGGGCCGGCUCAGGCCCCGGCGGUGUUCUCC
rnacentral:tRNA from 1 species